rnacentral:lncRNA from 1 species
UUGAAGGAUAUCUAGGUUGGCUCCACAGUCUAGCUAUUGUGAAUUGUGCUGCUAUAAACAUUGAUGUGGCUGGUCCCUGUAGUAUGCCGUUUUUAGGUCUUUUGAGUAUAGUCCUAGAAGAGGAAUAGCUGGGUCAAAUGGUGGUUCCAUUCCCAGUUUUCCAAGGAAUCUCCAUAUUGCUUUCCAAAUUGGCUGUACCAAUUUGCAGUCCCACCAGCAAUGUAUGAGUGUACCUUCCCCCCCCCCCCCCCCCCCGCAUCCUUGCCAGCACUUGUUGUUUGACUUCAUAAUGGCUGCCAUUCUUCCUGGAGUGAGAUGGUAUCUUAGAGUAGUUUUAAUUUGCAUUUCUCUGAUUGCUAGAGAUGGUGAGCAUUUUUUCAUGUAUUGUUUGAUUGAUUGUAUAUCCUCUUCUGAGAAGUGUCUGUUCAGGUCCUUGGCCCAUUUGUUGAUUGAGUUAUUACUCAGCACUAAAAAAAUAACAAGAUCAUGGCAUUUACAGGGAAAUGGAUGGCAUUGGAGCAGAUUAUGCUAAGUGAAGUUAGCCAAUCCCAAAAAAACAAAUGUCGAAUGUCUUCUCUGAUAUAAGGGAGGUGACUCAAAAUGGGGUAGGGAGGAAGAGCAUGAGAAGAAAAUUAUCUCUAGAUAGGAAAGAGAGGUAAAAGGAGGAAAAGGGAGGGAAAGGAAGGGAGAAUGGGAAUUGCACGGAAGAUGGAAGGAGACCCUCAUCAUUAUACAGAUUACAUGUAUGACGAUGUGAAGGAAAAAAAAAAAAGAAGUGUGUCACAUUAGAUUGGGUAGAGAGAAGUGAGG